GGAGUUAAGAAAUGUAAGUGCGCUAAUAUCGCAUUUAUUUGACGAAGGCUCCAAAGGAAGUCACGGCUAACUCUGUGCCAGCAGCCGCGGUAAUACAGAGGUGGCAAGCGUUGUUCGGAAUUAUUGGGCGUAAAGAGCACGUAGGUGGGUUUGUAAGUCAGAUGUGAAAGCCUUCUGUUCAACGGAAGAAUUGCAUCUGAAACUGCGAGUCUUGAGUGUAGGAGGGGAGAGUGGAACUUCUG
rnacentral:rRNA from 1 species